UGGAUCUGACCAAUCAAUUAGUAAAACCUGGCUCCAACUAGGUCCUCCAAAAUAUGAGCUCAAGCUCCGGCUCCAACUACGACUCCAGCCAAUCGAUUGUAGACACCCCAGCUUUGACUGGGACCUCCAAAUCCCGACUUUAAGGAUAAUCGACUAGAGACUCUUGGCUCUAGUCAAGGCCUCCAAAAUAUGAGCUUGGAAGUAUAUCGACCUCAAAUAUGAGCGU
rnacentral:lncRNA from 1 species